GGCAGGUUGCUGAAGGGAGAGGACGCAGACUGCAGGCUCUCCCCAGGGAGAGUCUGCAGGCCCUGACCCCAGGAGCAGGGCAUGUAGAGGCUCAGACAGACUCCAGAAUGACUGAUGAGCCCCAGGAAGAGACCAUACCGGAGGGAGCUAGGCCAUUGCAGACCCGGGGGAAACGUGGAGCUUCACUGAGGGAGAAAGGGGAGGAAGCAGCCCAGGAGACUUAGAAUCUUCUCUGGUGAGUGAAAGGGGGAACUGGUCAGUGUGUUUUAGGGAGGAUCCCCGCUGACUCGGUGGUAUAAAUGAUGACACAAUGUGCGGGGCGGGGGAGAACUGGGCUCCAUUAAUCAAUACCAAUGUGAACAAGAUCUGACUACAGGGAAGAGAGUGAACCUGACUGUAACUGUCACUGGAGAAAUCCUUGAAAAAACCACUUGUGUCUGACAGGAGAAGAGACAUCUGAACUGCCCAAUAACAAGCCAGUGGGAGUUUAACCUGAAUCAGCUGUGCAGGAUCAAGCCUAUGGACCGAAAUGCGUAUGCACUUGAGAAGAGAACAGGCCACAGUCUGCUUUCAGAAGUGACAGUCAUCGUCGAGGGGUUCAACCAUCCACACAGUUCCAGGCACCUCACUAUUUGUGUUCAUUGGAAUAAGCUCAUAAAGCAUUCAGUAAGAAGUGAUAACACUGUCUUCAGAAUGCCUGGUAUUCCUCCAAUUAUGCAAUGCAGCAAAGAAGAACAAACAUAAAGAAGAAGGAGCAACUAGAACGUAUGAAAUGUUUCAGAAUAUAAAUGUACAAAAUAAGCACCACCACAGCAGAGGUGCUGAGUAUUCCUUCUGGCAGAUUCUACCAUGGAUGCAGAUGGUUAUAGCCUCCAGUAGCACAAAUGUCCAAGCAGUCUCCCAGAGGAGUGUGUGUUAUAGUAAACCAGUCCAAGAGUUCACAAAGGCAUGAGUUACUGUGGCAAGAGCUACAUCAUCUAAUGAGGUACAGGUGGAAAAGGAGUUUCUAGCUACCAAGACAAACUGGAAAUCCAGGAGCAAUUGAGGAGCUGGAAGCAUCUCCUAGAUUAUGGACUUCCUUGAAAAAAUGGAGUCAUAUUCAUCAGCAAGACAGGCAAAUAUCUCAUCCCACCUGAGGUUUCUCCUUUCGUACCGGUAUCACUGUCUUCUUGUUUGGAAUUUUCGGCAAAUUCACACUCAUCCAAGCUGGGAAUUCUGCAUCUGUUCAUUCUAGGCAGCUUAAAGUCCCCUUCAUGCUGCUGGAGCAGCUCAAAAGCAAGUGAACUUAGGCUGAGAAAUUGGCCUUUAAGUUUCUUUUUUCCCUAUCUUUUCAAAAUUACUAGGAUAGCAUCCAGGUUACUCUGAAUUUUCCUGUUACACAGAGCCACUUAAAGUGAUAAUCUUUUGCAUCUGUGGCUGGAUUUAGGGGUGUCACAUUACCAAAUUCUUCAAUUUACAACCUGCCUUUUUGGUGCAGUUUACUUCCAUGUAUCUGUAGCUGAUUUGUCAUGACAAUAAGGCAACCUCAGUGGGUAUAUUUACUAUGUAAUAAUUGGACUUUAGAGCAAUUGCAGAAA